CUCCUUUGCCAGAUCGUCUCGGUUUAACCCUGCACGCUUCCAGCCCUGAGUUCCUGUUUGCUAACCUGUUUCCUGAUCUUCGACCCGUUUUUGGACCUGGAUAACCUGAUUCUGCCUGCCCCCUGUCUGUUUUUGCCACCAGCCUUGUCUCACUCUUCACAUCACCACAGCUCCAGUGGAUCUCUCACCGUCCUCCCGGUACAGCGAUUCCCCCCUGCGUCCUUCCUCUCCUUGGCCGGCCAGUGGGUGACGUCUCCAGACCCGGAUUUCCUGAGCAGUAUUCAGUCUCUUAUAAUAAACCUGUUUUCUU